rnacentral:rRNA from 1 species
GACAGAGGACGCAAGCGUUGUUCGGAAUUAUUGGGCUUAAAGCGCGUGUAGGCGGCCGCGUAAGUGCUUUGUGAAAGUCCACGGCUCAACCGUGGAAUUGCAGGGCAUACUGCGCCGAUUGAGGUCGGUAGAGGUGGCCGGAACUCUAGGUGGAGCGGUGAAAUGCGUAGAUAUCUAGAGGAACGCCGGAGGCGAAAGCGGGCCACUGGUCCGAUUCUGACGCUGAGACGCGAAAGCGUGGGGAGCAAACAGG